UACGGAGGGUGCAAGCGUUAUCCGGAUUUACUGGGUUUAAAGGGUGCGUAGGUGGGCCUGUAAGUCAGUGGUGAAAUCUUCAAGCUUAACUUGGAAACUGCCAUUGAUACUAUAGGUCUUGAAUUAUCUGGAGGUAAGCGGAAUAUGUCAUGUAGCGGUGAAAUGCUUAGAGAUGACAUAGAACACCCAUUGCGAAGGCAGCUUACUACGGAUUGAUUGACACUGAGGCACGAAAGCGUGGGGGAUCAAACAGG
rnacentral:rRNA from 1 species